rnacentral:misc_RNA from 1 species
UAUAUAUAUAUAUAUAUAUAUCAUGAAAGAUGUUCAAUAAUAAAUAAAGUCCAAAUCAACAUUUAAAUUCAAUCAUAAAAAUAUAUAUUUAGAAGUUUCAUACUUAUAAGAAAUAAAUAUUAACUACAACACAUUCAAAUGUUAAAAAAGAAAAGAUAAUGAAAUUUAUGACAUUUCCUCAACUUCACUGUCUUUCUCAUUCUCCUUCUCCAUGCUUGUAGUUGCAUUUUCAUCAAACAAAACAGACUCUAACUCUGGUUCAUCCAAUGAAAGGUUGGCAAAUUCAAGAACUCCCACAUCUUCCAUACUCCCAAAUUGAUCACCACCAACAUCCCACAAUUUUGUCUUCUCAUCAUAAUAUUGGGAGGAGUUUCUCGACAGAAGACGAAGAUUAUUAUGGAUAAAAACCAAGUCCUCUGCACGUUUUGGAGUUAAUUUAUUCCUUCUGCAUGAAUGAAUGAAGGAAUAAAUACUCCAAUUUCUUUCACAACAAGAGGAGGAAGUAGGUUUCCAAGCACUUUAAAAGCCAACCUUUGAAGUAAAGGUGCAUUAGAACCAAAACAUGCCCAUCAUUUACUUCCAAUAGAAUCAGGAUGAGCAAAAGGUCCACUUUUCAAAGAAAAAUUUGCAAAUUCAUCAUUUGCUCUAAUUCGCUCAUCUUCAUUAGAAAAAAAAAAAAUUCUCAUAAAGCACUUAAUUCUUUCAGUUGAUACUUCUCCAUCCAUAUGAGGAGGCACUCUACCUUCUCCCUCUUGAAGCCAUUUUUCACUAUAAAAUCUUCAAAAAUAAGAAAAUAAAUUCAGAAAAUAAUAAAAAAAAAAUUAUAACAAGAAGAUGAGUAUGUAAGUUAGAAAUUUACCUUGGAUUUAAUGAAUGGGCUAAACAAUGAAGGGGAGUGUUGCUCUUUGCCCAACGAUCAACAAGAAUUCGAUGAACUACAUAAUAAAAAGGAGAAAACCCAUCUGCUUGCUUUCCUUCAUGAUAAAAAAUAACUUGCUUCACAUUUUCAAUCAUAGAAUCUCACAACUCAUAAACCAAAUGAAGGCAUGGUUUGUCUGUGUCACAAACUCUGAUCAUGUCAUAAAUGGGCCCAGUAAAAGCAAUGAUGUAAUCAACCUUUUCCCACCAAUCCUCAUCUACCACUUUAUCACGAACAAAUCUAGCUUUGCCUUGGUCAUCUUCUCGGUAUUGUGCCCAUUGAUCACUCAUAACCAUUGCUUCUAAAGCACGCUUAAUAAGUUUCAAUCUUUUAAGCAUCACAACAAUAGAAGCAAAACGAGUGUCAGCAACUGAAAGCAAUUUCAAAGGGCUAAACCGAUUAUAAAUUGCAAGCCUCAUGGAAUGAUUCAUUAUAAAAUUCUUGAUUUGCAAAGCAUCCCCAUGGAUUUCAGUGAUCCAGUGACACACAUCAUAAGUUUCUUGAUUAGUUUCUAUUUUUUUUUUCUGCAUAUAUAUUCUUCAAAGUAAGAUUAAAAGUAUGCACAAUAAAAGAAGUCCAAUAAAUAUGUGAAAACAUUCUCUCAAAGAUUUCUGUAGCACCCUUACAAUUCAAAACAUUAUCAGUAAUGACUUGUACCACUUUUUGAUGACCCACCUCAUCAAUUACUUCUUUUAGCAAAUUAGCAAUAAAUUGCUUAUCUUUCACUUCACCAGAACAAUCUAUAGAUUUGAUGAACAUAAGGCCAGACUCAGAAACAACCAUAAAAUCAAUCAAAUGCCUCCUCUAGGGAUCACUCCAUCCAUCACUAACAAUACUAUCACCAUUUUCUAAACAAGUGCACUUAAUUGGUUCAACCAACCUCUCUACAUUUGUCUUUUCUUGCUAAAGUAAUGUGGUUCUCAAUUUGUUAUAACCAGGCGGCACAUAACCACUCAAAACAUGAUUAGCAGCAAAAGAAUAAGAACUCACAUAAUAAGGAUUUCUAGCAAAAUUAAAAGGUAGACCCCCUCUGUAAAACAUUCUAGCAAUCUCCACAUCUAAUUGAGCCCUAGUUUGCAAGUCAAAAGCUCUACCAAGAGGAGAAUCAUUAACUCUUCUUUUCUUCAAAGCUGCUGAAAUACUUGGUUCAGUUAUAUUCAAUGAAGGAACAGAAGUUAUACUAAUAGGCAAAGAAACUCGCCUAGAUUGUGAAUUGGUAAUUUUGUUUGUUGCCUCAUCCUCCUGUUUCCUCAUUUCAGAAAUACUAUCAUUCCGUACUUUUUUACACACACCAAUCCCUUUUCCAGUGAUUUUCAAUAAAUGAGCCCUCACUCUAGUAUAAGUCCCUUGCUUUUCUUGUCCACAAAAAUUGCAUAUCCAUUUACAAUUACCCCCUCCUUCUCCAGUUUUCUCUAGUUUAGUUACAUAUCUCCACAGAGGAUUAAAUUCUUCCUCCCUAGUUUUUGAAGAAGUGGCACUAGUGCUAUUUGCUUGGGUAGAAUUUGAGUUCGAAGAAUCCAUUCAAAUAUUGUCCUAUCAAAAUGACAAAAAGAAAAUGCAAUUUUAUACAAUUUACAAAUUAUUUAAACAAAUUAUAUACUAAGGAUUAAAGCACAAUGCAAAUUAUAUAUUAAAAGAUUAAAGAAUUAAAUAAUAGAAUUGAAUAAAUUGACUAUAUUAUGAAAAAUUUUAAUAUAUAAUAUAACGAUACAUUAAAACAAAUUAUAUUAAACACAUUAUAUAUAAAUUAUUACAAAAAUAUAAA